rnacentral:rRNA from 1 species
GACGAACGCUGGCGGCGUGCUUAACACAUGCAAGUCGAACGGAAAGGCCCUUCUUUUGUCGCGUGCUCGAGUGGCGAACGUGUGCGUAACAAGUGAGUACCCUGCCCUUGACUUUGGGAUCACUUCAGGAACUUAGACCUCAUACCGGCUAGGAGCUCCUGCUUUAUGGUGGGGGUGGGAACGGUUCUGCGGUUAAGGAUGGGUUUGGGGCAUAUUAGAUUCUUGGUGGGGUAGUGGCUCAUCAAGUCGAUGAUGGGUAGCUGGUCUGAGAGGAUGCUCAGCCAGACUGGAGCUGAGGCACAGUCCAGACUCCUACGGGAGGCAGCAGUGAGGAAUAUAUCACACUGAGCGAAAGCGUGAUGGAGCAAUGCCGCGUGCAGGAUGAAGGCCCUCGGGUUGUAAACUGCUUUUAUAAGAGAAGAUUAUGACGGUAACUGAUGAAUAAGGGACGGCUAACUACGUG